rnacentral:rRNA from 1 species
GAUGAACGCUGACAGAAUGCUUAACACAUGCAAGUCUACUUGAACUUCGGUUUGGGUGGCGGACGGGUGAGUAACGCGUAAAGAACUUGCCUCACAGUUAGGGACAACAUUUGGAAACGAAUGCUAAUACCUGAUAUUAUGAUUUUAGGGCAUCCUAGGAUUAUGAAAGCUAUAUGUGCUGUGAGAGAGCUUUGCGUCCCAUUAGCUAGUUGGAGAGGUAACGGCUCACCAAGGCGAUGAUGGGUAGCCGGCCUGAGAGGGUGAACGGCCACAAGGGGACUGAGACACGGCCCUUACUCCUACGGGAGGCAGCAGUGGGGAAUAUUGGACAAUGGACCAAAAGUCUGAUCCAGCAAUUCUGUGUGCACGAUGACGUUUUUCGGAAUGUAAAGUGCUUUCAGUUGGGAAGAAAAAAAUGACGGUACCAACAGAAGAAGUGACGGCUAAAUACGUGCCAGCAGCCGCGGUAAUACGUAUGUCACAAGCGUUAUCCGGAUUUAUUGGGCGUAAAGCGCGUCUAGGUGGUUAUGUAAGUCUGAUGUGAAAAUGCAGGGCUCAACUCUGUAUUGCGUUGGAAACUGCAUGACUAGAGUACUGGAGAGGUAAGCGGAACUACAAGUGUAGAGGUGAAAUUCGUAGAUAUUUGUAGGAAUGCCGAUGGGGAAGCCAGCUUACUGGACAGAUACUGACGCUAAAGCGCGAAAGCGUGGGUAGCAAACAGG